ensembl:lncRNA
CUCCACAAAGAGCAGAAAGUGAAUUAUUAUGCAAAGCAGACUUCAGCUUGACCUUCAUCCUCUGCUGUCAGGCGGACCCCUUCGGCUCGACUGGACUGAUUUUAGACACUCAGUUCCUGAAAAACACACCUUAUAAACCUCUUUAUUAACAUUAUAUUCUUUUACACUUUUAUUUUUUUUUAAUGCUUAAACGUCACUUACAAUCAACUGUUCUCCCCUUUUUACUUUUGCAUGCUGAAACACGCCCCAUUUUUUUCCCCCUAGAGGCAUCUGGGACUGUUUUAGUAACAGCCCGGCCCUGCUUUCACUCUUCCAUUUCCUGCUUCCUCAUCUGAACAAACCUCACGCUCUGCAUACGUUACUUUAUCUGAUUCCAUAUGAACGACGCAUUUCUAGGCAUCGCUGAGCCGACAGCAGUCAGAGCUUCAUUGAAAUAAGUGGGGCAGCCGACAGACAGAAGAAAAAAAAAUUAACCUCGGCCUUUUCAAAGACAAGCCUCGAUUCACGCAUCUUCUACAACUUCUAAAGACCUGAACUCUCGACUUUGCUCACCAAGGUUUCUUCAGGUGUUUUUUGGGGGGCGGCAGCAGAAACGUAAAAAUGUGGAGCACAUUGAGAUUCAACACUUCGGCUGACAUCAGUAAAAAUCUCAGAACAAGUCUGGAGACUUUUGUGAGGCUCUAUGGCCAACGCAAAGAUGAUCUUCAGCAAGCUUCUGAGCAUUUCAUGCAUGCAGCAGCUCUAGUUGAUAAAAAGCAUGAGGAUGACAAGAUGGCCCAGGCUCUGUUAGGUGUGUUUGGAGGGGCUAUUGGUAUAGUCUUUGGGGGUGUUACUGGUGGUGUAUGGGCUGCUUUGGGAGCAGUUAGUGCAGCAACUUAUGCCAAGUUUUGUGGCAACGUUAGUGCAGCAAGUGCAACUGUGGGCUUUGUAGGCGGUGUCUUUGGGGGAGUGGUGGGAGGAGCAUUUUCGGGGUUUAUUGGUGGAUCAGUUGGUGUUGCAGCUCUAGCAGCGGGUAUAGAAGCUCAUGGGAUCGUGAGUGAUUCAUUAUGGUUUACUGUUGGCUUCGCCACUGGUGGUGCAACUGGUAGCACAUUUGGCGGGUCAAUUGGUGCAGCAGGUGGUGCUGUUGGUGGUGGUUUUGGUGCUUUGCAUGCUACAAAAGCUGCAGUUUAUCUGGUCAGAAAAGCCAUCGAUUUUCCUUCUAAAACAAAAGUUCGAAAAGGAAAUGGAAAGCUAACGAAAGAAGUAGUCACCAUGCAGAAAACUGGAGCAGAUUUCAUUAAAAGCAUCGAACCGCUGGUGGACGAGCUAAAAACGGUGCAAGAGAUUUGUGACCAAAUGGCCUCCUGUGAUGCUGUGAAAGGCGUCGCUAAUCAGACUGCAAAGACUCUGGCUGCAGUGAACACAAUGGAGAAAACGAUGAACCACAGUCAGAUGGAGGCGGACGAGUCAGAGUUUCUCCGCUGUGUUAAAGAAGCAUCGAGCCAAUGCAAGAUAAUCCCUGUGGAGCUGCAGAUGAUGAGAGAGGAAGUGGAGAAACUUCUGGUUUCACUGUAGAAACACUGUUGCUGUCGGUGAAACAGGAGCUGUUCUGUUGUCUUGAUGGUUUCAUCUGUUUUACGUAGCUGUUCAUUUGUUAUUUGUUUAGUUUCUGUUUUUAACUGCUCAUUUUGUAGUUCUUAUACGCUCUUCAUACAGAAUCAGCUGUGUUAAUAUAUGUUGGCUGUCUCAUCUUUAUACAAAAUACUGUUAUACUAAAUUCUAAAUUCAGAAUCUGCACGUUACACUGGCAAAAACAUAAAAAAAAACCUCUAACAAAAAGCUUAAAGUGGAAUGACAGAAUGACAAAGUUAAAAGAAAUUAAAAAUAAUUACAAAAAUAAAUUAUCUGGAUCUAAAGCAGUUAUACAGUAAAGUGAAUAUUUAACAUAUUUAACAUACAAUUAAAUAAAAAAGAUUUAUAUAUCUAUAUCUAUAUAUCUAUAUAUCUAUAUAUCUAUAUAUAUAUAUAUAGAUAUAUAGAGAUAUGGAGA